UACGUAGGGGGCAAGCGUUAUCCGGAUUUACUGGGUGUAAAGGGAGCGCAGGUGGUUUGGUAAGUCAGAUGUGAAAGCCCGGGGCUCAACCCCGGGACUGCAUUUGAAACUAUCAAACUGGAGUGCAGGAGAGGUAAGUGGAAUUCCUAGUGUAGCGGUGAAAUGCGUAGAUAUUAGGAGGAACACCAGUGGCGAAGGCGACUUACUGGACUGUAACUGACACUGAGGCUCGAAAGCGUGGGGAGCAAAC
rnacentral:rRNA from 1 species